GACCUCAAAUCAGGUAGGACUACCCGCUGAACUUAAGCAUAUCAAUAAGCGGAGGAAAAGAAACUAACAAGGAUUCCCCUAGUAACUGCGAGUGAAGCGGGAAAAGCUCAAAUUUAAAAUCUGGCGGUCUUUGGCCGUCCGAGUUGUAAUCUAGAGAAGUGUUAUCCGCGCUGGACCGUGUACAAGUCUCCUGGAAUGGAGCGUCAUAGAGGGUGAGAAUCCCGUCUUUGACACGGACUGCCAGGGCUUUGUGAUGCGCUCUCAAAGAGUCGAGUUGUUUGGGAAUGCAGCUCAAAAUGGGUGGUAAAUUCCAUCUAAAGCUAAAUAUUGGCGAGAGACCGAUAGCGAACAAGUACCGUGAGGGAAAGAUGAAAAGAACUUUGGAAAGAGAGUUAAACAGUACGUGAAAUUGCUGAAAGGGAAACGCUUGAAGUCAGUCGCGUUGGCCGGGAAUCAACCUUGCUUUUGCUGGGCGUACUUUCCGGUUGACGGGUCAACAUCAAUUUUGACCGUUGGAUAAAGGCUGAGGGAAUGUGGCUUCUUCGGGAGUGUUAUAGCCCUUGGUCGCAUACAACGGUUGGGAUUGAGGAACUCAGCACGCCGCAAGGCCGGGUACUUGUACCACGUUCGUGCUUAGGAUGUUGGCAUAAUGGCUUUAAUCGACCCGUCUUGAAACACGGACCAAGGAGUCUAACAUGCCUGCGAGUGUUUGGGUGGAAAACCCGAGCGCGUAAUGAAAGUGAAAGUUGAGAUCCCUGUCGUGGGGAGCAUCGACGCCCGGACCAGAACUUUUGGGACGGAUCCGCGGUAGAGCAUGUAUGUUGGGACCCGAAAGAUGGUGAACUAUGCCUGAAUAGGGUGAAGCCAGAGGAAACUCUGGUGGAGGCUCGUAGCGAUUCUGACGUGCAAAUCGAUCGUCAAAUUUGGGUAUAGGGGCGAAAGACUAAUCGAACCAUCUAGUAGCUGGUUCC
rnacentral:rRNA from 2 species